rnacentral:rRNA from 1 species
AGAGUUUGAUCCUGGCUCAGGACGAACGCUGGCGGCGUGCUUAACACAUGCAAGUCGAACGGAAAGGCCCUUCGGGGUACUCGAGUGGCGAACGGGUGAGUAACACGUGGGUGAUCUGCCCUGCACUUUGGGAUAAGCCUGGGAAACUGGGUCUAAUACCGAAUAUGACCAUGCACUUCCUGGUGUGUGGUGGAAAGCUUUUGCGGUGUGGGAUGGGCCCGCGGCCUAUCAGCUUGUUGGUGGGGUAAUGGCCUACCAAGGCGACGACGGGUAGCCGGCCUGAGAGGGUGACCGGCCACACUGGGACUGAGAUACGGCCCAGACUCCUACGGGAGGCAGCAGUGGGGAAUAUUGCACAAUGGGCGCAAGCCUGAUGCAGCGACGCCGCGUGAGGGAUGACGGCCUUCGGGUUGUAAACCUCUUUCAGCACAGACGAAGCGCAAGUGACGGUAUGUGCAGAAGAAGGACCGGCCAACUACGUGCCAGCAGCCGCGGUAAUACGUAGGGUCCGAGCGUUGUCCGGAAUUACUGGGCGUAAAGAGCUCGUAGGUGGUUUGUCGCGUUGUUCGUGAAAACUCACAGCUUAACUGUGGGCGUGCGGGCGAUACGGGCAGACUGGAGUACUGCAGGGGAGACUGGAAUUCCUGGUGUAGCGGUGAAAUGCGUAGA